rnacentral:ncRNA from 4 species
UGGAGAAGCAGGGCACGUGCAA